rnacentral:rRNA from 1 species
AUACGUAGGAAGCAGGCGUUAUCCGGAUUUACUGGGCGUAAAGUGAGCGUAGGUGGCCUUUCAAGUCAGAUGUGAAAUCUCCUGGCUUAACCAGGAGGGGUCAUUUGAUACUGUUGGGCUAGAGGACAUCAAGGGAAGGUGGAAUUCCGGGUGUAGUGGUGAAAUGCGUAGAUAUCCGGAGGAACACCAGUGGCGAAGGCGGCCUUCUGGGAUGUUUCUGACACUGAGGCUCGAAAGUGUGGGGAGC